rnacentral:rRNA from 1 species
AGCAGCCGCGGUAAUUCCAGCUCCAAUAGCGUAUAUUAAAGUUGUUGCAGUUAAAAAGCUCGUAGUUGAAUUUCGGGAUCAAUAUGUUGGUCGUGCCUCGGUACGUACUAGCUUAUUGGUUUCUCCUUUCUGAAGAACCAUGAUGUCAUUUAUUUGGUGUCGUGGGGAAUCAGGACUGUUACUUUGAAAAAUUAGAGUGUUUAAAGCAGGCUCACGCUUGAAUACAUUAGCAUGGAAUAAUGAAAUAGGACGUUUGAUUCUAUUUUGUUGGUUUCUAGGAUCGACGUAAUGAUUAAUAGGGAUAGUUGGGGGCAUUAGUAUUCAAUUGUCAGAGGUGAAAUUCUUGGAUUUAUUGAAGACUAACUACUGCGAAAGCAUUUGCCAAGGAUGUUUUCAUUAAUCAAGAACGAAAGUUAGGGGAUCGAAGACGAUCAGAUACCGUCGUAGUCU